AUUGGUAUAGCUGGGUCAAAUGGUGGUUCCGUCCAGGUUUUUAAAGGAAUCUUCAAACUGCUUUCCAGAGUGUAUACACCAACUGGCAGCCCCACCAGCAAU
rnacentral:pre_miRNA from 1 species